rnacentral:rRNA from 1 species
CGUAGGAGGCGAGCGUUAUCCGGAUUCACUGGGCGUAAAGCGCGUGCAGGUGGCUUGGUAAGUUAGGCGUGAAAUCUCCCGGCUCAACUGGGAGAGGUCGUCUAAUACUACCGGGCUAGAGAGCAGAAGAGGAAGAUGGAAUUCCCGGUGUAGUGGUGAAAUGCGUAGAUAUCGGGAGGAACACCAGUGGCGAAGGCGAUCUUCUGGUCUGUUUCUGACACUCAGACGCGACAGCUAGGGUAGUAAACGGGAUUAGAGACCCCGGUAAUCCUAGCCGUAAACGAUGCGAACUUGGCGUCGGUGGGUUAAACUCCAUCAGUGCCGAAGCAAACGCGAUAAGUUCACCGCCUGGGGACUACGGCCGCAAGGUUA